rnacentral:rRNA from 1 species
CGAACGGGUGAGUAAUACAUCGGAACAUAUCCAGUAGCGGGGGAUAACCUGUCGAAAGAUAGGCUAAUACCGCAUACGAUCUACGGAUGAAAGCGGGGGACCGCAAGGCCUCGCACUAUUGUAGUGGCCGAUAUCAGAUUAGGUUGUUGGUGAGGUAAAAGCUCACCAAGCCGACGAUCUGUAGCUGGUCUGAGAGGACGACCAGCCACACUGGAACUGAGACACGGUCCAGACUCC